rnacentral:rRNA from 1 species
UACGUAGGAGGCGAGCGUUGUCCGGAAUUACUGGGCGUAAAGAGCGCGUAGGCGGCGCGGUACGACCGCUGUGAAAGCCCCCAGCUCAACUGGGGAGGGUCAGCGGUAACGGCCGUGCUAUGAGUGCAGGAGAGGGAAGUGGAACUCCGGGAGUAGCGGUGAAAUGCGUAGAGACCCGGUGGAACACCAGUGGCGAAGGCGGCUUCCUGGUCUGCGACUGACGCUGUGGCGCGAAAGCUAGGGGAGCAAACGGG